GCCACCGUGGUGCAGUGGUAGCACGCCAGCCCUCGCAGGUAGCCACCGUCGCAUGACUUACGAGCAUGCCACGUCCAGGGCCAAGUCCCUCGGUUAUAGCGUGAGUGCGGUGUGACGGGAGACUGGCUGGAGACGCGAGUUCGAUUCUCGACGGUGGUA